rnacentral:rRNA from 1 species
UACGGAGGGUGCUAGCGUUGUUCGGAAUCACUGGGCGUAAAGCGCGUGUAGGCGGCCCACUAAGUCUGAUGUGAAAGCCCGGGGCUCACCCCCGGAAGUGCAUUGGAAACUGGUGGACUCGAGUCCCGGAGAGGAGAGUGGAAUUCCUGGUGUAGCGGUGAAAUGCGUAGAUAUCUGGAGGAACACCGGUGGCGAAGGCGGCAUCCUGGACCAACACUGACACUGAGGAGCGAAAGCCAGGGGAGCAAACGGG